AUGGCCAAGGAAGUUAACUAGUCUCCAGGCAGGGAAUGCAAAGAUAUGUGAGGAAAAAAUAUCUCUAGAUCAGCCAUCAUAUUUCAUGCAUCAAAAUUCCCUGUGCUUAUAAGGACACCUUCGGGGACUGAGAAAGGAUGACAUUAACCAGAGCAACAGCCAUAAACUAGCACCAUCCCAAGCAAAUCAUAACAUAGGUUCACUCUAACGUGAUAGAAAAUGGGAACGCAAGACCUAGUCCUUCAUUUUGAGGAAUCCAAUAAGACACCUGAGGCACGGAGAGCAGAGAGGUCAAGGAGUUUCCCACGGUCAUACGAGCAGUCCCGGAAGAGGCAACAGAUUGAGGAGUCUCCUGAAGAGUGAAAGGCCUCACUCUUGCACUGUGUUCCCAACCUGUCAUAUUCAGAUGAGCAAGACAGCCAGGAAGUCAUUCCAGCUUCACGGCACAGGCCAAGAAGAGCCAUCCUCAGGACCAGCUGCUAGCAGCAUGCCCUUUAGCGUUUGGCCAGGAUGUCAAGGCCCAGCUGUUCUGUCAGCUUUCCUUAUACAGUUUGUUGACAAAGAAGAGGCCUGGUUAAUUUUUCAAGCAGGCAAUAAAAACUGAAACUGAGUCACCUGUGAAUGCCUGAAUUACUUCUAGGAAUGAAGACAUAACAAUACCAAGAUAACUUUUUCCUAUGGCCAGAAUACAUUGAAAUGGUUUCAGCAUAGAAUUGCUCAGAAUAAAAACA